AGCGCAAAAAGGCCUAAAUUUUUCUGAUAAUAUGAGGUAAAAUGUUGUAUCAAAAAAUUAUUAUUUCAGAAAAAUUUCAUGCGUUAUGAAAACUAAACACUCGGGUUUUUUCGUUUUUUAUUUCAUCUUCUUACUAUUAAUAAAUAUUAUUCAUUCGAAUCAUAAAAAAUUACCGAACGUUGAUUUUUUUUUUUUUACAGGAUUAACAAUAAUUAACGCUUGGCGAGAAGAAUCUGCAACGUAUUAUUAACUUUGAAAGGAUUUUAAUAUCUCACUUAAUGUCUAGACAGCUCCAAUAUCGCGUGUAAUUCUUUGCUGCAACAUUAUAGUAUUUCUUUAAAUCGCAACGAGCUUUUCUACGACUGACAAUAAUUUACCAUGAUAAUUGUAUAAACGCCUGUUCGAUUUUAUUAAUUGAUACAGAUUGCUUCACAUACAGGCGUUAACAGUGAAAGUGGAAAGAAAAUCGGUGAAAGUAAAAUAUUGGCAUAAUUUCGAUUUACCGUGAUUAUUGAGCGGCGAGAAUUAGUUGAGUGUCAGUAUUAAAGCCUGUACAAUAAUAAUAUGGUUUAAAGAGUUAUUGGUCCAAUAAAAUAAUAACUGAAACGGUGGAAAAUAUAUUUUCAUCAAUAAUUAAUUUAGAUUACAGGUUUACGGAUUUUUUCCCUGACCGAUCAAGUUUACUUCGAAUUGUAUUAUAUAUUAUGUAAAGGUAGGCACACCGUAGGUUUUAAGUCUCCUUAAUUAGAGAUAAAUAUGCCAGUGCUUGAUCAAUUAGUAUUCAUAAUAUUAAGUACGAUGUAUUUUUGUUCCUAUAUUCAAUAAAACAGUAAUUUAUGGAAUUUAAAAUGAGCUUCAUGUAGGGAAAAUUUACAUUGGUGAAAUCUGACGGACUGCGAAUCAAAAUCAAAACUAAUAUUGCUGCGUUAGAUACUUUUAAGAAAUUCAGUUUUACAAUGGAGAGUAUCAAGACUGUUUGUAUAAUAAUCGUCUGUGUGAUUAAAGAAUAAAGAUAUUCAUAUCCUGA